GGAGGGUAUAGCUCAGGGGUAGAGUGUGUGCUUAGCAUGCACGAGGUCCUGGGUUCAAUCCCCAGUACCUCCA
rnacentral:tRNA from 1 species